GUGCUUAACACAUGCAAGUCGAACGAUGAAGCCCAGCUUGCUGGGUGGAUUAGUGGCGAACGGGUGAGUAACACGUGAGUAACCUGCCCCCGACUCUGGGAUAAGCCCGGGAAACUGGGUCUAAUACCGGAUAUGACCUCGCACCGCAUGGUGCGGGGUGGAAAGAUUUAUCGGUGGGGGAUGGACUCGCGGCCUAUCAUCUUGUUGGUGAGGUAAUGGCUCACCAAGGCGACAACGGGUAGCCGGCCUGAGAGGGUGACCGGCCACACUGGGACUGAGACACGGCCCACACUCCUACGGGAGGCAGCAGUGGGGAAUAUUGCACAAUGGGCGAAAGCCUGAUGCAGCGACGCCGCGUGAGGGAUGACGGCCUUCUGGUUGUAAACCUCUUUCAGUAGGGAAGAAACGAAAGUGACGGUACCUGCAGAAGAAGCGCCGGCUAACUACGUGCCAGCAGCCGCGGUAAUACGUAGGGCGCAAGCGUUAUCCGGAUUUAUU
rnacentral:rRNA from 1 species